AGAGCGCAGCCCGCGCCACCCGGCGCCUCAGUUGAGGGCAGCCCGUUCAUAGCCAGGCCAGCACGGACCGCGAUGCCGCCUGCACCCCUCCUACGUCUUCGGCGGACUGCUACCCAGAGGACUAGCUCCGUGUGGCUCGGCCUCCGGAGAGCCCAGCCGCCGCCCGCAGGUCGUGCUUUGUUCCGUCCCAGGAUCCUCCGACUCCGCCUAUGCUCCACCCCCUCUGCAUGGGUGGGGCCUCUCUUAACGCGGCGAUGACCCUGGAGCCCAAAACCCAUCUAAGAACUGGAUGGGAGAGUGCACACUCGGACCCUCACCCGGAUUAUCUUUAUCUACGUCUGAGUCGAGCUCCUGACAAGCCACGCAGUAGAUUUUCCGCUGUUUAUCUUGCAGGAGGAUCGUCUAGGAACCAGAAAGUACAUGGACAUAGGUGAGCCUGAGGCAGGGUCCACGGGAGAGAGAGCUGAGGAAAGGUCGGGCGGUCUAGUCCGCGGCCUCAGCCUCAUCACUCGCCUCACCCCGCAGUCCGCGCACGUGUCGCCUAGCAUGCGGUAACCACGGAGCAGGUAGUCGCCCAUGAGACGAGAGAUGCGAUCCUGCCGCUCCCGUCGCGCCUGCAGCACCUUCGUCUCAGCUUCAGUCGGAGGCUCCCAGGUGAAAUCAUCGACAUCUAGAGGAAACAGGCACGGGAGAUGGAGAACUGCCUCCCGCACCGCACGGCCACUGCCCAAACAACCCCUAGCGCUCACCUGCACCGUUCAAGGCCAUGUUGCCGUGGUCACUGCUGGGCUCACCGGAAGUGAUGCAAAUAAGACGCGCCCCCACUACGGCUCCGCCUCCCACGUGUAGUGGCUGAAGGCGGAAGUGACGUUUACAUGGUCUUCCUGGCGCUUUACUCAAAGGGGGGCGUGUCUGCUGCACCUUUAACCCUGAUUUACAGGCCCUGCUAGUAGCCAGGACUAUCGAUAGGUACCGCAGUCUCCCUGGUAACACUUCAGUACUCGGGUGGCUUUUCAGAGUCUCCAUUUCUACUUGCCGCUUUUCUACUUGCGGCACAUAGAGUGGCCCUUUGGUCUGUGAAAUACCCGAUUCCUCCACACAGGUGGAGCAGGAGGCAGGCGGGACCAUGAUGACAUCUGCCCAGCAGUCACUGCAAUAAAAAGUUCUCUGCGGCCG